GACGAACGCUGGCGGCGUGCUUAACACAUGCAAGUCGAACGGAAAGGCCCUGCUUUUGUGGGGUGCUCGAGUGGCGAACGGGUGAGUAACACGUGAGUAACCUGCCCUUGACUUUGGGAUAACUUCAGGAAACUGGGGCUAAUACCGGAUAGGAGCUCCUGCUGCAUGGUGGGGGUUGGAAAGUUUCGGCGGUUGGGGAUGGACUCGCGGCUUAUCAGCUUGUUGGUGGGGUAGUGGCUUACCAAGGCUUUGACGGGUAGCCGGCCUGAGAGGGUGACCGGCCACAUUGGGACUGAGAUACGGCGCAGACUCGUACGGGAGGCAGCAGUGGGGAAUAUUGCACAGUGGGCGGAAGCCUGAUGCGGCAACGCCGCGUGCGGGAUGACGGCCUUCGGGUUGUAAACCGCAUUCGCCUGUGACGAAGCGUGAGUGACGGUAAUGGGUAAAGAAGCACCGGCUAACUACGUG
rnacentral:rRNA from 1 species